rnacentral:lncRNA from 1 species
AUGUGUAUGCAUGUAGGAGUGCAUGCGUGUGUCGUGUGUGAGUGGGUGUGUGCAUGCAUGUUCAUGUGUGUGCACGUGUGUGAGCGUGCAUGUGUGUGUAUGUGUGAGUGUGCAUAUAUGUGCGUGCUCUAUCUCCUCGCCACGCCCCAGUGUGUGCAGGACCGGAGCCAGGCGCCCUCCCGAAGCCUGGGCUGGCGUUUACGCGGUGCCGCUCGCCACGCUGUCUGUGAGAGAAGCCCGGGGGCCUGCACCUGCCCUGUCCAACCACUGGAGCUCCGGUCCCCAGAACCCAGAGGCCCUGAGCCGGCCGACACAGCAUCCCAUAGGGACCCUGGGACCGCCUCCCGGGGGGUACCCAUGAGGAGGAAAGGCCGAGGAAGAGACGCCCCUGCUCCUGGGCGUGGCCGGGAAGGGCGGGGCGGUUCCCUGUGCGGAGGGCCACGGCGGGGGGGGGGGGGGAGGUGGCGGGGGGGGGGGGGGGGAGGUGGAGAGGGCGGAGGUGGUUCGCACGGGGCAGACCCACCUACGGCCUGGGUGCGACCCCGGGUGUUCCGAAGAAACGGGUUAAUUUUACCUUUCAUUAGCAAACCGGCCAUAUUAUUUCUAAGGGGGCGGGGGCUGCCGUCGGGAUGUGAUCCCAGUGUUUUCUCUCCCUCGGGAAUCUCCUGGGUGGAAGCCACUUUGACUCCCUUGGAGGAAGCAGCCCCGUCCCCAGCGCCCCCCUGGAGAAGGGCUGGGUCCGGCGGAGCGGGGGUUGUGCGGGGUCCCACGCGCAGGGUCCCAUCCACCCGAGGAAAAGGGGCUUCCUCAGAAAAACCCACAAAGGCAACGGGGGCAGCAGCUGAGCCUCGUCCGAGCCGGGCCUGCUGGACGGGAGCGCGGGGCAGGCGGGCAAAGGCCGUGCAGGCGCCGCGGAGGAAACGCGCCCCUCUGCGUCCUGGAGCGGCUCCACCGGGCGGGCCGGGCCUGGGCUGUGCGCGAGGAUCUGCUGCGCUGCGGGACGCGGCUCGGGGGCGUCUGCGGCCCCCCAGGAGGGACCCCGGAGGCCGCGGGUUGGGCCGGGCUCCCACGUGGCGGCCCCGACUCCGAGCACCGGGCGAGCCUUAUGCGCCGCGGAGACCCGCGUCCCCCACACCCGGACCCCGCGCGCCCAGGGCGGCCUCCGCCUGCGUCCGCCUCCGCCGGGUCCGGGAAGCGCCCGCCCCGCUGCACAGACCCCGGCGUCUCCUCCCCGGCUGGGCCGCCUUGUCAGGAUAA